GCAUCGAUGGUGUAGUGGUGUAGCACGAGGCUUUGGUAUAGAUGAAAGGCGCCGGUUCAACUCUCGCUCGGUCCG